ensembl:snRNA U7 U7 small nuclear RNA
AAGUGUUAACAGCUCUUUUAGAAUUUGUCUAGCAGGCUUUCCUACUAGAAAACCAGA